rnacentral:rRNA from 1 species
CCAGACUCCUACGGGAGGCAGCAGUAGGGAAUCUUCCACAAUGGGCGAAAGCCUGAUGGAGCAACGCCGCGUGGGUGAAGAAGGUCUUCGGAUCGUAAAACCCUGUUGUUAGAGAAGAAAGUGCGUGAGAGUAACUGUUCACGUUUCGACGGUAUCUAACCAGAAAGCCACGGCUAACUACGUGCCAGCAGCCGCGGUAAUACGUAGGUGGCAAGCGUUAUCCGGAUUUAUUGGGCGUAAAGGGAACGCAGGCGGUCUUUUAAGUCUGAUGUGAAAGCCUUCGGCUUAACCGGAGUAGUGCAUUGGAAACUGGGAGACUUGAGUGCAGAAGAGGAGAGUGGAACUCCAUGUGUAGCGGUGAAAUGCGUAGAUAUAUGGAAGAACACCAGUGGCGAAAGCGGCUCUCUGGUCUGUAACUGACGCUGAGGUUCGAAAGCGUGGGUAGCAAACAGGAUUAGAUACCCCAGUA